GUUUUAGUGGAACGCUCUGGGAAGUGCGAACGUAGAGGGUGAUAUUCCCGUACACGAAAGGGCACACAUAAUGAUGACGAGUAGGGCGAGGCACGUGAAACCUUGUCUGAAUAUGGGGGGACCAUCCUCCAAGGCUAAAUACUCCUGACUGACCGAUAGUGAACCAGUACCGUGAGGGAAAGGCGAAAAGAACCCCUGUGAGGGGAGUGAAAUAGAUCCUGAAACCGCAUGCAUACAAGCAGUGGGAGCACCUUCGUGGUGUGACUGCGUACCUUUUGUAUAAUGGGU
rnacentral:rRNA from 1 species